rfam:Salmo salar isolate Sally breed double haploid chromosome ssa13, whole genome shotgun sequence.
CACCAACAGGAUUCACGUAAGUCGCUCUGGAUAAGAGCGUCUGCUAAAUGACUAAAA